UUACAAAGUCAUGUAGCAUUUGACAGUUUGGAUAUUAUAUCGAAAUUUCAUUUCCUAAUAACAUAUAAGAAAAGAGCAAAAAGGUAAAAACAGAGACAAACAGCAAUGCAAAUCUGUGAUGUAAGCUUGGUUUAUCAGUCAGAGUCAGAGUCAAGAUUCUCUGAAGACCUAACCGAACGCCUUAUGCUCUCUUGGUAUUCCGGAUAUCUUCCGCGCGUUCAGCAGAUCCGGAGAGAGUCGCGUCAGUUCUUCCGACGGAGAUCUGACGGGAGAGACAAUCGUCUUGGACGACAAAGAGAUGAUCGACACGGAAACCGAUUUAAAUUCGAGUUCAAAUUCAAAUCCGACGGUGGCGCGUGGUCAACACGUGACAACCGAGCCGGAGAAGGACUCGAUUACUGUCACUGAUGUAACGAACGAUCAUCCUCCUCCACCGACGAAGGUCUAUAAAAGAAGCAAAACGGAAAUCUCUGCGAAACAGAGUCCAGCGAUGGUGACGAAACCUACGCUCCGGCGAUCGGAGACGGAAAAGUGCCGUGAAACCGUCGCGUCGUGCGAAGAAGUGCCGUUUCCGGAGGAUAAUCUGACAAACGAAGAGUUUCAGAAAACGAUCGAAGCGUUCAUCGCGAAACAGUUGAUAUUUCGUCGCCGAGAAUCUCUCGCCGUCGUUAUCCAUAAUUAAAUCUAAAUAUAUAAGUAUAUCCCGACAUAACUAUCUAUGUUGUAUGUUCGAGUUCGAACCAACAAGCAAGCACGGUUUUGUAAUAGAACGACAAUGAAGAACGAUCGUAUCGAUCUCAUUUUGUUUGUGCUCCCUUUCUUUGUUGGAUCAAACACGUAUGGUUUGUUUCUGUAAUGUUUGGAUCAAAUUUGUUGAACGAUUCAGGAUUAAUAUGAACAGUGCUUAUCUGUGUUUCUGUAUGUUGAUUUUUUUUUUCUGUUGGUCUAGUGAGUGUCACUUCCUGAACUGAUAAUAAUAGAAACUUGAAGUAGAAGCCAUGUUUCGUGAAAUCAUGGUAUAUUACCAAAUUACUUUUGGUUUUAGUGUAUUUCAAGAGAAGAGACUGUCGUGUGAAGUUAUUAAGCAUUUUAGUUGAGUUACUUGAGUACAUACAAUCAAAGACAAAAGCAAUCACAACUCUUCACACGACAAUGUCAGAAACGCGAUCUUGUUUAUCCUCAUCAUAAAGCCUUACUUUUAAAUCAGUAUGUAUUAUCUAUUAAAACAAUUUAAAUAGAUGUAAUCUGCAAAAGCAUGGAAAAUCUAUUCAAGCUAUGUAUUCAAGAAAUAAAUUAUUAGUCUCUGGAAGGACUAUGUACAUGCAGGGGUGGAUGUAGAUUGGUCGUGGGAUCAUGUGUCCUCUGCUAAAUUUAGAUUUUUUAAGUUAUCAGGGUUAUGUCAAAGUUGUCAAAACUGUCACAUGUUCGAAUCCUCAAAUGAUAGGAUAAUCUGAGACUUCUCCUUUCAAAUUGAUAUUAGUUCGAACUUUACGGAAAUGCUCUCGAUUAACUCAAAAUUCAUUAUAACGCUUUCGACUAUAACGAUUUCUAGAUCCGCUCAGGUGUACAUGUUAUCGUUCUGAAAGGUACACCUGUAAUCUUUGGGAAAUUAUUUAGGUUCAAGUACGACACAGUCUAAUGUACAUCUCUUUUUUUUUUGAAAAUAGUCUAAUGUACAUCUUGUAUUGAUUAAUUAUUGAAGGUGAUGUGGUGUAUGUAUCUUGAUACAAAACUAAUAUCAAAGCAAGACAUCUUAAUUAAAGACAAAAUUUGAAUUGCUUUUUAAGUGCAAUCCAAAAAGAGACCAUCGUCUUUUGAAAUUAGUUAGCAUUUUGGUUGAGUACAUAAUGCCUACUCACAAUGAAAGACAAAAGCAAUCACAACUCACACGACAAUGUCAGAAACGCGAUCUUGUUUGUCCGCAUCAAUUAUCAUCAUAAAAAAUAGUUUUAAUUAUUGUAUCAUAUAUAGAAACAAAAUGAAUAUAAAUCUAAUCUCUGAAAAAUCAUUGAAAAUCUAUUCACGCUAUAUGUUUUCAAGAAAAUAAAUUAUUAUCCUGUGGAAGGACUACCCGUUAUAUAUCGUUCUGAAAGGUAUAGUUGUAAUAUUUAGAAGAUUAUUAUUUAUAUACGAUACAAUUUAAUGUACAUCUUGUACUGAUUAAUCUUUGAAAGUGAUGUAGUUUAUGUAUCUGGAUACAAACCAAUAUAUAGUCUUAUAUCUAGAGUGAGAAUUAUUUGAUGAAUUAAUUUGUAGGCUGGCAUCAAACAGCUAUUUGGUAAACAUUUGUGAAAAAUCAUUUUUUGUGUGAUAAAAACGAUAUGCAAAUUGGGCACGGUGUAAAUAUUUUGAAAAGGAACAUAUUUCAUUUUUAUAAGUUUUUCAUGGAAAUGAUCGAUGGUCACAUAAGUCGUUCAAUAAUCUAUAUAAUACAUUCAAAGUUGAAAGUGAAGUAAUUUCUGUAGCCGUAGAGUGUCUGGUGGGUACGUCUUAGCACUAAUCAUAGUGCAAUAAUAUUGAAUUGCAAAAGUAUUCUGAAAAUGCACUUUUAUGCAGACACGAGGAUAAAUUAAGAUGAGAAGUGACUUUCUUUUUCACCAAGACCCGUAAUCUCUGCUGAUAAUUUUUUUUAACUCGAAAUAUUAUUAAAUGUUUCGUAAUAAGAUACAUCAUGGAUUAUAAAAGUUGACAGAAAAUAGAGAUAUAUCUGAAAGCAAUAACCCAAAAAAAGAAACAAAAGUUAACAAUAAAAUAGGAUAAUACGAGAAAUAAACUUCUUUUCACCUUUUCAUUAUUUUUUCAGAAUUUUAAUGAUAUAAUUGUAUAAAUUAUAGAUUGUCGCUUAAUUUGUUUUAGGAUCAUUAUCUGAGAUGAUUAGCAACAAUAUGAUUGUCUACACCACGUCACCACGAACGGCUAUUGGCCUAUUGUUAUUGUGGUUGGAUCUGUCUUCUUUUUCCUUCGAGGUUAUAUACUAGUAUGUAUAUAGCACAUGUUCAUUUAAAGUAAAACUGGCAUGCAUUACGUUGACAUAGUGAAAAAUAAAGAUUACAUUUACGAAUAUUUGCAAGAGUAACUACGCUUUCACUGUUCCAAAUAAUCUCCUUCCUUAUUUAAUGUACUUUCACCGCAGGCUCAUAUAGCUCGGGGAGCCGAUGAACGAAAACACAUUCAUCUUUUCUUUAUUAUUUCAUUUAAGUAAUUACAAAAAGGAGCUACGACAUGCAUUAUUAUGCGUAUCAUGGAUGCAUGAACGAAAACAGGAAAGCUAAGGAUGUUGACGUAAAUCAAUAUAUAGUAUUUUUGGGUCCAAGCCUAUGAGCUGUAGAUAUUUGCCCCACAAUUAUAUCAGCGGUCGACCAAAAGAAAAAAAAUCUCUAAAUGGCAAUCCCCAUAUCAAAUUACAUUAAGGGUGUAUUCGCCUGGAUCCUAUGCGUCACUAGUCACACUAACAGUGUAGCACUGUAAAUAUUUUGAUUUAUUUUAAAUUAUAGAAGUAUAUAGAAUGAUAUAAAAGAUCCAAAAUAAUAUUAACAAAUAUUGUAAAUUUAUCAUACAGAAAUAUUUACAUAUAUUUUUGAAUUUUUUUAGUUUAGGAAAUCCCUUUGAUAAAAUACUAUACGUGUUUGAUUCAAACAUUUUGUUUUUAUAUCAUGUGGAACUGUAAGCCUGAGCAUUUUACAUGGAUCCGAAAAUCCGAACUGGAACCGAUCCAAAAAUACCCGACCCGAAAUCGAACAAAAAAUUUACAAGUACCUAUUGGGCCCAACAUUCUUCUACCCGAAAGAACCGGAACCGAAAAGAACCGACUCAAAUAGAACCGGAUCCGAAAAGAACUAACCCGAAUAGACCCGACCCAAUAAGAACCGAUUAAUACGAUUAAUACCCAACUUAAAAACAUGAAUAUCCAAAACUAUGAUUUUUGUGUUCUAUUUUCUAUAUUUUAUUUUAUAAUUUAGUUAAAAUGUAUUUUUGUUAUUAUUUUUGUAGCAUUUUGAAGUAAUAUGAAGCUUUAAAUAUAAAAUUUAAAGUUAAAAAAUGUUUUAUUUAAAUUAUUAAUAGUUUAUUUUAAGUUAUUUUGUAAAACUGUAGAUAUAUAUGACAUAUUUUGGGGGUUUGGGUAUUUUGUGUCCUUUUUAGAUCAUAAAUACCCGAUCUCGAUCCGUAUCCUACCAGACCUGAUAUGGAUCUAGAAAUUACGGAUAUUUUAUAGGUAUUUUAAUUAUAAACUCGAACCGACCCGGAUCCGAGAAGAACCGACCCGAACAAAAAAUUCAUAAAUACCUUUUGGAUCUAAAUGUCUAGGACCCGAAAAAUUCGGAUCCAAAAGAUCCGGACUCGAAAGGAACCGGCCAGAACCCGACUCGAAGAUCCAUACGCCCAUGCCUAGGAACUGAUUUGAAAGUAAUAUACAAGUCAUCACACUUAAAGUUAUUAUUGUAUUUGAUCAUACGGUGGAAACAACAUGGUGUUCGGUAGAGUGGUUAAACUCUUAUAUCAACUAAUAGAAAUGUAAUAGGUUAUGUAUGUAUUCGACCUUUUCUAAUCUUUUCUCCAAUACUUCUUUUGAGAGAAAAAUUACCCACACGUCAAGACAGUCUUUGUUUACUAUUUUUCUCAUCUUCCUUUGACGCACGUUAUGUUCUCUCGUCGAUAAAUCGAAAAGCCUCAUGACCAAGUCACUGGACCCCUUCUAAAACUCAACUUUCCUUCUUCUUUUUUCAUUAUUCUAUCAAAAAGAAACAUCAAUGUUGUUGCAACGGGAGGAUCCUCGCUUAUUCCUUGCGUCCACCAAUAAUAAAACUCUUGAGUUUUUACGUUGAACACAAACUCUAACAAAGAAAAUGAGUGCCUCUGACUCUUUGUCCGCGGAAUCUCGUCUAGCCACGGCUAAGACGGUUCUCACAACCGCAGCCUCGGUGGCUGCAACCGCAAUGCUAGCUAAAUCACUAGUCCAAGAUUAUUUGCCUGACGAGGUGCACCAAUACAUCUCCUAUGGCUUCCGCAUCUUCUUUGGCUACUUCUCAUCUCAAAUGACAAUAAUCAUCGAAGAGUUCGAAGGGUUUGUCCACAACGAAGUCUUCGAGGCCGCGGAGGCCUAUCUAGCCACCAAGAUCUCUCCUUCUAACAAAAGAAUCAAAGUCAGCAAACACGAAAAAGAAAACAACUACAACGUCACCGUGGAACGUGACGAGGAAGUUAUAGAUACCUUCAACGGCGUCAAGUUCAGAUGGGUCCUCCAUUGCCACCAGGUUGAGUCCAAGAACUUCCACAACCCGCGGGAUCUAAACUCUACACUCAAAUCCGAAGUACGAUCAUUCGAGCUCAGCUUCCACAAGAAGUUCAAGAACAUGGCUCUUGAGUCUUACUUACCAUUCAUGGUCAAAAGAGCUACGCUGGUGAAGCAAGAGAAGAAAACUCUCAAGAUCUUCACUCUUGACCCAGAGAACAUGUAUGGGACUUACUCAGACGCUUGGACCUCUGUGAUUCUUAACCACCCUUCGACGUUCAAAACGCUAGCAAUGGAUUCAGAUGCCAAGAGAAACGUGAUGGAAGAUCUCGACCAGUUUGUGCAGCGAAGGGAGUUCUAUAAGAGAGUUGGUAAAGCUUGGAAGAGAGGUUACUUGUUAUACGGUCCACCAGGUACAGGGAAGUCAAGUUUGAUAGCAGCAAUGGCUAAUCAUCUCAACUUUGAUAUAUAUGACUUAGAGUUGAGUGCAGUGAACAACAACUCUGAGCUCCGGAGAUUGCUGAUUGCUACUGCUAACCGCUCUAUUCUUGUUGUGGAAGAUAUCGAUUGUUCGAUCGAGUUGAAAGAUAGAACAACUGAUGAAGCUACUCGAGAAUCAGACGACGGUAAUGACACACGUUACAAAAAAGUGACGCUCUCUGGACUGCUAAAUUUCAUAGAUGGUCUUUGGUCAAGUUGUGGCGACGAAAGGAUAAUAGUAUUCACAACGAACUACAAAGAGAAGCUAGAUGCAGCGUUGUUGAGGCCAGGACGCAUGGACAUGCACAUUCACAUGUCGUAUUGCACGCCGAGUACUUUCAAAGCUCUUGUUUUAAACUAUUUAGAGAUCAGUGAGCAUAAGCUUUUCAGGAAGAUCGAGGAAGGUAUUGAGGCAACACAAGUUAGUCCAGCAGAGAUAGCAGAACAACUCAUGAGGAAUGACAUUGUUGAUAAGAUUCUUGAGGGUUUGAUUGAGUUCUUGAAAGUCAAAAAGAUCGAAAAUGAAGAAGAUGAGGCUAAGAAGGAAGAGCAAGAAUUGGAGAACAAAGGCAAGACCACUCAAAACAAAGAAUUGGAGGUCAAGAAAAACGUAGAGGUUGAUGACCAGCUUAUUAGAAGCGAGUAAAAUUAACUUCUGAAAUUAGAAGAUGAUUAAAUAAAUGAUGAUAUAACAUAUCAAAUUUGAUCGUGUAUUUUGAGAUGAUAUAACAUAUAAAAUUUGUAAGCGAAGUCAUGGAUCUAGAUAGAACACUGCUUACAGAACAAAAGCUCCAUAGCACAUGAUGACCUUGAUUGGUAACCUGCUGAAUGGCGGGCAGAAUAGCAUAAAAAAAUGCGAUUCCACAAGAAUUUUACCAAUAAGAUGAAUGUGGACGAAAACACUACCACACAGGACCUGAUUUAUGGCAACGUUUUGAAGCGAACAGUUCAAAUUUUUAUGUAUCAGCAACAAUAAACAUGGUGUAUUACAUAUAGCAGCUUACAAAGUCAUGUAGCAUUUGACAGUUUGGAUAUUAUAUCGAAAUUUCAUUUCCUAAUAACAUAUAAGAAAAGAGCAAAAAGGGCAAAAACAGAGACAAACAGCAAUGCGAAUCUGUGAUGUAAGCUUGGUUGAUCUCAGUCAGAGUCAGAGUCCAGAUUCUCUGAAGACCUAACCGAACGCCUUACGCUCUCUUGGUAUUCAGCAU
rnacentral:lncRNA from 1 species